rnacentral:misc_RNA from 1 species
AAGGAGUCUAACAUGCCUGCGAGUAUUUGGGUGGAAAACCCGAGUGCGUAAUGAAAGUGAAAGUUGGGAUCUCUGUCAUGGAGAGCACCGACGCCCGGACCAGACCUUCUGUGACGGCUCCGCGGUAGAGCAUGUAUGUUGGGACCCGAGAGAUGGUGAACUAUGCCUGAAUAGGGUGAAGCCAGAGGAAACUCUGGUGGAGGCUCGUAGCGAUUCUGACGUGCAAAUCGAUCGUCAAAUUUGGGUAUAGGGGCGAAAGACUAAUCGAACCAUCUAGUAGCUGGUUCCUGC